rnacentral:rRNA from 1 species
GACGAACGCUGGCGGCGUGCUUAACACAUGCAAGUCGAACGGAAAGGCCCUGCUUUUGUGGGGUGCUCGAGUGGCGAACGGGUGAGUAACGCGUGAGUAACCUGCCCUUGACUUUGGGAUAACUUCAGGAAACUGGGGCUAAUACCGGAUAGGAGCUCCUGCUGCAUGGUGGGGGUUGGAAAGUUUCGGCGGUUGGGGAUGGACUCGCGGCUUAUCAGCUUGUUGGUGGGGUAGUGGCUUACCAAGGCUUUGACGGGUAGCCGGCCUGAGAGGGUGACCGGCCACAUUGGGACUGAGAUACGGCCCAGACUCCUACGGGAGGCAGCAGUGGGGAAUAUUGCACAAUGGGCGGGAGCCUGAUGCAGCAACGCCGCGUGCGGGAUGACGGCCUUCGGGUUGUAAACCGCUUUCGCCUGUGACGAAGCGUGAGUGACGGUAAUGGGUAAAGAAGCACCGGCUAACUACGUG